rnacentral:rRNA from 1 species
AUUGAACGCUGGCGGCAGGCCUAACACAUGCAAGUCGAACGAGUGGCGGACGGGUGAGUAAUGUCUGGGAAACUGCACGAUGGAGGGGGAUAGCUAAUGGAAACGGUAGCUAAUACCGCAUACCAUCGGAUGUGCCCAGAUGGGAUUAGCUAGUAGGUGGGGUAAUGGCUCACCUAGGCGAGGAUCCCUAGCUGGUCUGAGAGGAUGACCAGGCACACUGGAACGGAGACACGGUCCAGACUCCUACGGGAGGCAGCAGUGGGGAAUAGUGCACAAUGGGCGCAAGCCUGAUGCAGCCAUGCCGCGUGUAUGAAGAAGGCCUUCGGGUUGUAAAGGACUUUCAGCGAGGAGGCGUUACUCGCAGAAGAAGCACCGGCUAACUCCGUGCCAGCAGCCGCGGUAAUUC